rnacentral:lncRNA from 1 species
CCCCCGACGACGAUGGAUCAGGCACCGCAGCAGCAGCAAGAGCAGCUGUCGAGUUGCGAAGAGUUGAGCUCACGCAAGCGUAGCAUGACCCUGGACUUGGACAACGCUGGACGAUCCGAACAUAGCAGCGAAGAGGGCUGCUCUUCGUGCCUGCUCACCACUCCG